rnacentral:tRNA from 2 species
AAGAUACUAGUAAAACUUAAUAUUACAUUGCCUUGUCAAGGCAAAGUUGUGGGUUAACACUCCCACGCAUCUUA